rnacentral:rRNA from 1 species
GAUCCUGGCUCAGGAUGAACGCUAGCUACAGGCUUAACACAUGCAAGUCGCGGGGCAGCAUGAUGAUUGCUUGCAAUCGUUGAUGGCGACCGGCGCACGGGUGAGUAACGCGUAUCCAACCUACCUAUUACCACGGGAUAACCCGGCGAAAGUCGGACUAAUACCGUAUGUGGUCUUCGAUUGGCAUCAGCAGUAGACUAAAGGUUUUGCGGUAAUAGAUGGGGAUGCGUCCGA